rnacentral:rRNA from 1 species
GAUGAACGCUGGCGGCGUGCCUAAUACAUGCAAGUCGAGCGAACAGACGAGGAGCUUGCUCCUUCGACGUUAGCGGCGGACGGGUGAGUAACACGUAGGUAACCUACCUAUAAGACUGGGAUAACUUCGGGAAACCGGAGCUAAUACCGGAUAAUAUUUCGAACCGCAUGGUUCGAUAGUGAAAGAUGGCUUUGCUAUCACUUAUAGAUGGACCUGCGCCGUAUUAGCUAGUUGGUAAGGUAACGGCUUACCAAGGCAACGAUACGUAGCCGACCUGAGAGGGGGGUCGGCCAACAGUGAAGUUGGACACCGGCCCGACUCCCACGGGGGGGAGCAGUAGGGGAUCUUACGCAAUGGGGGAAAACCUUGCAGGACAACGGCGCGUGAGGGGUGAAGGGUCUUCGAGUGGAAAACCCUGUUUAUUGGGAAAAAAAAAAGGGGAAGGAAACGUGGACGGUUUUGGGGGAACUAAUAAAAAAACCCCGGGUAAACUGGGG